rnacentral:misc_RNA from 1 species
GUGUAAAAUAACUUGUAGUAAUUCUAGGAUACGGUAACGAUUAACGGUUGUAAAUUUCAUACAAUGUGUUCUGACAUGUGUUUGGAAAUUUAACGGAGACUAAAACGAAUUUCUGAAUUCGGUUUAGCAGAAUUUGUCGUCGAUCUGUUCUUACUUGUUAAAUCGCCUAAGUAAUCUCAUGCUCCAUUUGGAGUAACCGUAUUAGUGACUGGCAAAGAAUUGAUAUUGUUACUUCUCAUUAAUGAUAUCAAGUGACAGCCACUUUUGUUCUCAGCAAGCUUAACGACAGUUCAACGCUUAAGUACUUCCACAAUUUUGCUUUAAGAAGGACCACGAUACUAUACGUUUAGAAAGAGACUGAAAUUGAUUUGAUAUUGAUAUUUCACUGGAAUAAUGCACACAGUGAGAGAAAGAGAGUUUGAGUUUUAUUUCUAUAUAACAAAAAGAAUACUCUAUUUAAUUUCUUUUGACAGAGACAUUAAUGAUAUUUAAAAGACUCAUAAACAGUGUAUAAUUUAUUAUGCAUCUAAUUCUGAACACACAGAGUAUUACACACAAAGUAUUACAAAAUUUUUAUAUAUUUACAAACAAUUUUUAUACAUUUUUUUAAUACUUUUCAUCAAGAUUUAUAUUAUAAUGAUACGAUUUCAAACACUUCGCGCGCACGUUUUUUUGUUUGAAAAACUGCCAAGUCUCUUUUCAUAACUUUAGAGUUGUAAUAUUCUACCUCAUCUCAUGGUAUAUUUUCAAAGCAAGAGCAAAGUAACUUGGGAUACACCAUAUACAAACACGUUGAAUAGCGUAUCAUUGAAAAAUUAUUUGGACAUAGUUCUGCAUUUAAAAUUGCACAGAUGUCUACCAAAUCAGUAUCUCGUGUAAAAAUUGCAUUUACUUUACGGCAUACAAAGUUGUACUGUAUCAGGCAGUUAGUUACGCCUGUGUUAAAUACAAGGAGCACAUUGAUGUCUAUUUGCCAAGGCAAAGAGCACAUUGACAUUACAAAUAUUUAAUUGGUCUGUAAUUAUCACUUGUAUAAGAUAAUGACAAUGUGUGCAUCUAGAGAUACAUGAAUGCAAUUAGAUCUGAUGCAAAAAGAGAGAAGAUAGAAAUCUUUGAUGAAAAAGUGAAUGAAACAAAAAGAUCUGCUUGGGAAAAUUGUUGAAAAUAUUCAACAUUGAAGAACAUAUAUUAAUAUGCUAUAAUUUACUAAUAAUAACGAGUAAGAAUUUAUAAAAAUUAAUAAGUAUUAACAAAAAAUAAGGAUCAUGUAACGUCCUGGCGUUAGAGCAGCAUAAUUCUCCGUCCAUUUAUACAGAAAUAAGAAAUGAACACUACUUUUGACAAUACUGCGAAUGUUUGUUAAUUAUUGAACUAUUCUAAUACUGUGAUUUAAAUUAUUUGAAUUCUGAUUAAUGCAAAAUUGCAUAACAUCAGUUAUAAGAUACUAAUGAGUUAUAAAUUGCCAAAUCUGCAUAUACUGUACAUUUUAAACAUUUAUUUUAAAAAAUUAUUCUUACAUAUAAAUAUUUUAUUUGACUUAUAAAAAAAGAAAGACAUAUAUGACAGUAUUAGAAUAGCUCAGAUAUAUUAUAUAAGAAAAGUUUAUAUAAACCAUAAUAGUGUUCACAGCUCUAUAUGCUAUAAGAUAAAUAAGUAUAUAUUAGAUGUAGUAUAUACUAUUAUUCGGAUACCAAUUACUCUAUAUUUAAGGAAUUAUAUAUUUACAUUUCAAUACAUUUUUAUUAAGUAGUGAAGGCAGUCUUUUAUGAACAUGCCCAUUAUCUAUGUCAUAAUGUAUAAAUAAUAAUAAUUUAUAUAUAACAGAGAUAAUGAAAGUUCAUAAAGAACGAUUAAGCAUUUAGAAUCGAUGUUGGAGAAAUCAAUAUCGGUUGCUUAAGUAGAGGUACUAAACACAACAUGAGGAUCUGUUUGUCCAGCUUGUCUUUUUUUUAUUUUAUAUAUAUUAUUGUAUCACGGAAACAUAUUCAUAUAUAAUAUAAUUUUUUACAUCACAUUAUAUAUGAUGUAAUUUGUAACAUCGUUAUCCUUUGCCUUUUAUAUUUACAGUUUUAUAACUGGCGUAAUUUAUAUCUUUUUAAUUUUUAUUUUUUAAAACGUAUUUAUAAAAAUGGAUACAUAUAUAUGUAUAUCAUAUAUUUUUAAUAUAUAUUAAACUUCAAACACAAAAAUUAAUGACAAAUAAUUGUCCUUAUUCUUUUAUGUUUUGCGAUAACGUGAAAAAGAAAAUACUAUAAUUAUCUACAUGAAUAAUUUUAUCUUAUAUAUAUUGUAUUUUACAAGACACAAAUUUAUAUAUUUUAUAUUAUUCGUAUUGACCGCUAUGGAUCUCCACGCGUUCGAGAUAUCGAGCAUGCGGCACUCGGCAGUUAAAUCAGUUAAAUUCAGACCUUUCAGAAAGUCGCGUGAUAACUGGUGAUAACCGGAUUAUCUCGUUGAGAUUUUUUAUCUCGUGAUGAUAAUAAUAUAUUAAGUCACAAACAGUUGUGGAUGUGUAUAUAUAUAUACAAGUUUAAGUAAGCUAAGCCAGUUAGUCAGGAUUUCUGAGAGUACAAAAACUGUCUUGAGUGCGUUCAGACUUGGAGGUUAAUCAUGCUGCGAGUUCUUAGCCGCUCGAUGCGUUCAACGCAGCUCCUCAGAAAAACCACAGAAAUCGUCUGUGUGUCGAGCACGAGGAAUUUGAAUCUGAUGGAGUAUCAGAGUAAGGAGCUUCUACGGGACUCCGGUGUAUCAGUACAGAAUUUUGCCAUCGUAGACGACCUAACCAAGACGGGUUCUGCGCUGGCAAAAUUACAUGCGGAUGAAUACGUCAUUAAAGCUCAAGUCUUGGCUGGUGGUCGUGGUAAAGGUUGGUUUGACAAUGGAUUUAAAGGAGGUGUACACCUUACCAAAGACCGUAAUGCCGUUGCAAAUUAUGUGAAGAAUAUGUUAGGUCAUCGGCUUAUUACCAAACAGACCUCAAAGGACGGUAUACUGGUGCAGAAAAUCAUGAUAGCCGAGUCGGUGGAGAUCGCGCGCGAGACCUACCUCUGUAUACUCAUGGAUCGGCAGCAUAAUGGUCCAGUGCUGAUAGCGUCUCCGGCGGGUGGGAUGGAUAUCGAGGCAGUUGCUGCAGAACGUCCUGAACAAAUUAAAACCGUUCCAUUGGACAUUUAUCAGGGAAUCAAUGACGAAAUAGCAAGGGAUGUAUGCGUAUUCUUGGGAUUCUCGCGUCCGGAUGUCCUCGAGAGAGCUAUCUACGAGUUGAAAAAUUUAUGGAAGCUGUUCGUGGACAUUGACGCUUUGCAAAUCGAGAUCAAUCCGCUGGUAGAAACAACUGACGAGCAGGUGGUAGCGGUAGACGCGAAAAUCGCGUUCGACGAUAAUGCACAAUUUAGGCAGCAGGACCUCUUUGCCUUGGAGGAUGUCAGUGAGAAAGAUCCCAGGGAAGUUGACGCCUCGCGAUUUAAUUUGAAUUAUAUCGGUAUGGACGGCAACAUAGGGUGUUUAGUGAAUGGUGCUGGUCUGGCUAUGGCUACGAUGGAUAUUAUUAAAUUAAAUGGAGGAUCGCCAGCGAAUUUUCUGGAUGUCGGCGGUGGUGUGAAGGAGGACCAAGUCUUCCAGGCGUUUAGGAUUCUCAGUGAAGAUCCAAAGGUCAAAGUUAUCCUCGUCAACGUUUUCGGCGGUAUCGUGAAUUGCACGACAAUAGCAAAGGGAAUUGUCGCGGCAUCGCGUAACUUGGGACUGAAAAUACCGCUUGUUGUAAGAUUAGAAGGCACCAACGUGACUGAAGCCAAGAAAGUUUUAGCUGAUUCCGGAUUGCCAAUUGUCACGGCUAACAACUUGGAUGAGGCGGCGAGGAAAGCGGUAAUUUCUGUAAAAGCGUAAUUGCAUGUCGAUACGACGAUACAUCAUUAUCGUCGGCUUAUGAUUAAGACUGGGAAUCUGUAGUUUCAAUGUAAGACAACAAUAACUUCGUGGCGGGGCAACUCGAGGUGGGAAAUCAUUUACACGAUCUUUUUUUUUUAUAUAACAGAACAUAUCCAAGUAGCUUCCACAUUAAUUUUUCACAGCGUUUGGAUUUUAAUAUUCACACGUAUACAAAUACGCGUACUCCUAAACACACGCGGUACUUUUCUACAUGUUUUUAUUCAACUGCGGGAUGUUUUAUUUGUUGCAGCUUUAAUUUGUUCAUUGUUCACAGUUAUGUGUAUAUAUUAUCUAAAUUAACAUCAUUUAACUAACGUUAUCAAGAUUCUAAAAAAACUUCACGCUCUAUUAUUUUGGCGAGGUAAGAUUCUGUAUUUUCAUGAAAACUUUAAAGCCGUUAUCUGAAUCUCGUUAAAAGGAAGAAUAUAUAUAUAUAUAUAUUCUUCCUUUUAACGAGAUUCUUGAUAACGUUAGUUAAAUGAUGUUAAUUUAGAUAAUAUAUACACAUAACUGUGAACAAUGAACAAAUUAAAGCUGCAACAAAUAAAACAUCCCGCAGUUGAACAAUACAAGAUUAUUAUAUAUAUAUAUAUAUAUAUAUAUAUAUAUAUAUAUAAUCAUCUUGUAUUGUUUUACCUGUGUUAGAUGUUUAAUAUCUGUCCUGCAUCUAUGCAAAAUCAGGAUCUAAGAGAGAUAAUUCUGAUAUAUAGAUUUGUAUCGGUUAAAUACGUCUUGAAAUAUUCAUUUCGAAACUAAUUUUUGUUGGAACAUGUGUUUGUGGACUUAUCAAUUUUGUUAUAUCAUGAAUGUACAAUGUAGAACUCCAGUUUAUUUAUUUGUGAUAUUUGAUUAUAACUUACGUUGAUUAGUUAUUAUGCGUUCAUGAUUUGUUUCCGCGGUCCAGUGCUAAAUAAUAAAUAUUCGAUUGCAUCACCCCCGUGUAGUUGAAGCUGACUACUAUGCGAGUCGCGUUCUGUAUGUAUAUGUAUAUGUAUAUGUACAUGCAUAGUCUGAUAUGUAUUGUAGUUUCCUUUUUUAAUUUUUUAAUUCUGUUGUAUAUACAUUUAUUUCUGCUAAAUUUAAAUCGGUUUAUAUUAAAAUGUAAAACAAAUAUAUUUUCUAUUAAAUCUUUCCAACAACCCUAAUUUUAUGAUUCUUGUGUAAUUGUAUCUUUAUUCUCAACAUUUUAGCGUAUGAAAAUCUUUCGUAAUUUUAGUUAUAUUAUUUAUUAUAUAUAUUGUUGUAAAUCUUUUGCUCAUUUGUGAUAAUUGUUGUUAAAUAUGGAAUUUAAUUUAAUGCAAUAAAACUUCAGAAAUAAAUGUUGAAACGAGAAAUGAAAAAAUCUUUUUAUGCAUUCUUUUGUGAUAUACGACGAGAGUUUCUGAAGUUUUAUUUAACUAUGCACUUGUCUAUAUUAAAUGUUUAUAAUGUAAUCUUCAAUUUACGUGGCAUUUCUUAAUUGUCAUUAUUGAGCAUCGUUUAGCGGGACGAUGAUUAGAAUUCACAGGUAAGAUUGUGACCAUCAAUUCCAAUCAUCUGAUUAAUCAUUGUUAUCGAAAAGUGCCUGACAGUCAAUUCUUGUUCAGUCAAAUCUUCAAAUUCUAACAGAGCGACAGUAAUCCUCGUGUCGAACGUGUCGAAGACUGAAUCGUGCUCAAGGCUCGCCGAUUGCGCGUGGCGUAAUGAAAGGAGGGAGGAGCAAAGGCGCGCAAUCGACUUUUAGCCCAUGUAUGGUCGCCGCGUCUUUAUAAGUAGAAACUCUUUCAGUGGACAGCCAAGUCGCUUUAAGCGCGCGGUACUUGGCCGUCUCGCAAAGAGAGAGCAUAUCCAUAUAUGGGCAACGAUUUUUAGCAUAAGGUCCCGUACAUAGCGCACGCGACUUUUUUCUACCUUUCAAACGAUGCGCGUUAGUGGGUCAUGUUCUUUAUAGAUAGGCAUGCGGACCAAUGUGCGUAAUGUAAAAAAUGCAAAAUUGUUCGGACAAGCGAAAAGAGAUUGACUUAAUUUAAGAAUAAAUUUUUCUAUCGAGCCAGCGUUUCGUCACUUUUCGCCUUUCGAACAAUUCAGCAAUGUUUUUAGGAACAUAAUAACUUCGCAUUUUAGCAUUUACAUUUAUUCUUACAUCUCAAAUAGCACAAUCAAUGCUAGAGAUAGCUCUAAAUUUAUAAGAAAUAUCAAGUUUUCUCUAUCUUUCGAAAUAUAUAUAUUGUUUGAGAUAUAUCGUGAAUGUUCUAUGCGAAAAAUCUGUAACGCUUGCGCCGAGGCGAAGUUUCGCGGUAAGACGCGACGUUUCCUACAGGAAGGAUUUCUUCCCAGAGGCGACCGCUAAAACCGCUAUCGCGUGCGUUGAAGAUCCAAGUUCCUGGUGCCGGCAAUUCAAUAUCACGACGUAUCACCCGCGAUGUACGACGCGUAACAAUGACCGUUUUAGUUUCCUCUUCAGUGUCAAGCGAGCUGGUGGACGACCGGAUUCGUUUUUGCUCUCUUGUUUCCCUCAUACGAAUAUAAAUCCGCUCCUCUCGCACGCGUCUCCUGAGGGGGAGGCUCGGCAGUCCGACGCGUGUAUGUAUUAUAUAUAGACCGGCCCCCUGCCCCUCGGCCGACGAGGGAGCGCGUACUAUUCUCGGACAACUUCACGAAUCCGAGUUACUUCUUUCGACGUGUGUUCGACUCCCGGUUUGCGGACGGCAUAAACGUCAGUAAUCGCCUGCGAACCGCUCCGUGUCGAUCGGGAGCGCCGUGUCGAUCCGAUCCGGAGAGACCGCCGCCCCUUGCUGUAACGUGCGCACGUAAGAUCGGUCCCGGUUGCAGCGAAUACCGGUUAACGCUCUGAUCGCGAUUAACUUGUCAUUUUGGAACGAGAACGUCUGCGGAAUCUGCAAUGCAGAGGAAGAAAAAGAGAUCCGAAGUGUAAAGUUAACGUUCACAGCGUGACAUUUUGAUUCCUUCCUGUAGUGCUACAUUGGGAAAUCAUAUCGAUUGUUCUCGUUCCAAAGUGUUCGAUUGAUGCGUACUUCUUUAUAUGGAUUAUGGGAAAUGUGUGGUUAAUUUAUUUAACGACUUUGGGAGACGAUUAUUUGUCACGACUGUCCAAUUUCUGAUACAAUAAGAAUUAAGCCAGUGGAUAUUUAAAUUUUUCAGUUUUGCAAGAAAUUUGUAAUUAAUUUUGAGUGAUUUUUCUGAGCGCUUCUUAUGAUGAGUAUUAUGAUCUGUGUGCGGAGAAAGGCGGGCAAUCACAUAAAUUAAUUCAAGUUCAACGACGUAGAGUUUGACCGCCAUGUUAACAGCAAUAAUAUCUCGUUAGAUUCCUAGUGCUUAAAGUGUUCCUUUUUAAUAAGAUUUAUCAGCUCUCGGCAUUUGGUUCGGAUCAGGUAUGUGUUGUGCAUGUGCGUCGAUUACGGAUUUGGAAAGCAAAAAGCACGUCUCUCAGACGUAAUUAUGACUUUGCUUUAAAGAAGAGAUGUUACAUUUGUUAGAAUUCGUAAAAAAGAUAACGAGAUCAUUUAAUUGCAAGAGAGAUUUACUCUCAUAAUUUAUUCGCAAUUUAUCUUUACAAUUUUUUUGUACAAUCCGAGUGCAACAUGCUUUUGCAGAAUGAUGAUGAUUUUAAAUGAAAUAAGAGAGAUCCGCGAGAAGAUGCGAUUUCGUCGACAGUUUUUCGUUUACUGCUGAUAGGGAAUCACUCAAUCAUGUGAGAUAAAAUAUAUUCGAACGUGAGACCUUCUUAAGAAGAAAUAUACUGUGCAUCUCUACGACGAUUGUUUUAGUUACUUACUUACUUGUAUAUUAUUCGUAUAAUUUAAUCGAAAAAUAGAUUCGAUGUGAGCCAUGUUUUGAAAUAGAAAAAGUAGGUGAUAAAAUGUUUAAAUUCGAUGACAGUUUGAUCGGUCUCUAUUUGUGAAGUGGUAUCUUGAACCUCCUUGACUUUGAAGUGUCGAGAUAAAAAAAAAACGUAUUUUAACAUCAUCGCGUCAUUCCGUAGCAGCUUUUAUAGAUAAUUAUAGAUAACAUAGUAUACAAUAUAAAUGUAUUAAAUAUAUAUCGUUACGAGUUUUAUUAAUAAUGUAAUAUUCUCUUCGGAAUUUUUAGUUAAUAUGUAAUAUAAUGAUUUCGUAGAAAUUUAUAUUUUUUUAUGCAGACAGUCGAACACUUUUUACACAUGAUGGCGGGAUGCAUUCAAUAAGAGGAUACGUUUUAUACAAUCAUUUCCUUAUUCAUUCUUGUAUUUAAUAUUAAUUUAUAUACAAUUUCUGAUUUCUUAUAAAUUAAACUGUCUCUCUGUAAUAGGAAAACUGCGAGUAAACGGUGGAAAUUGUAUUCAAGUUUCAGACAAUGUUCGCACUUAUGAAGUUCAUCUUUCGGAUGUAAUAUCAGACCUUGGAAAAAAGUCACGUAUACAUGCGCGUACCAAAAAUACCUUGGCACGCGCGUCGCGAAUCGUAAUUUAGCGUGUGUCCGAUUAAUUUUCAUUAUGAGCGUAAAAUCCAAUAAUUGUUCAAAAAACUGCAAAUUUCAUUCUAAUACGGAAUAGCUUUUCGUUUUCCGGAAUUUGCAAAUAAAUUAUUUAAUAAAUUAGAAUAUAUUAUCUUCUUAAGUUUUCCUCGAGAUUUAAAUGUAAACAUUUUCUCAACAAAGAACAUAAUAUAUAUUGAUUCAAAAACGAGUAUAGAAAGAAAGAUGUACAUACACGGGGGAAGAUGUAGCUUCCCCUGAAUGUGCCGCUAUUUAUAAUUAGGCAUUUUAUUUACGGAUAGGCCAAACGUAAGUCAUGUUGAGGAGGGACAGUUCAGCCGAACACGUGCACUUCAUUCGAGCGCGACUGAUCGAUCCGACGCACGUUCACGAACUCGAUCCAAUCAAUUGUGUAUCUGACAAUCAGAAUCUGACGUUCAUUAACAGGAAAUAAUGCGUUCGCGCUUCAUCGCUUAAAUUUCCGCUCAAAUUGUUAAUUUUCCACACACGGUUUCAUAACGAACAAUUUUAAAUUUAAUAGGAAUAGGACAGUUCUUCGUCAUUAAGUGUUUUGUAAUAUAUACGUUACAAAUUAUAUUAACACAUAAGAAUUGA